ACAGAAAUUGAAGAUAUUGCUGUAAUAUGUAGGAACAUAUAUAAAUGUUGAUUGCAACAUUAAAAAAACUGUCAAAAUCGAGGAAAAACAGGGCAGUGGUUUUGAUUAUUUCUAAAACCUUAUUUAUUCGGUAAUCUGUUAUUGGAGGCUACGCCCAAUCUUGAA